rnacentral:lncRNA from 10 species
UGAGAAUGGGCCUACAACCGCUGGAUUUACUGGUUGUAUCAUAUACUUACAGUAUCAAGAAGUAACUGGCCUGUUGCUCUAACAGGCCUUCUAGCAAUGGCCUUCUCAAGACAUAGGUGAAGCUCCAGCUUGAAGGCAAUAAUCCGAAAGGAUGAAGAAGCACCAUACUCAGAAUGCACACUAUACAUUUAAACAGAGACCUAAAUGUGAUGCUCUGCCAAUAAUAGGAAGAAUAUAUGGGCCCAGGUACCAAGGUGGGUAGCAGAAGGGUUCCUCUUGCCAUCAUCUCUGACAUACUGGAGGACAUUGUACUUCUCAUCCCUAUAAUUCUGGGCAUUGCAUUGCUAGAGUUCCUUGCCUAAAGUGAGAGGACUCUUACAAGGAGACAUAGCAAGAGUUUCAUUCAACUGGAACACUUUGGACAUCUUGUGUUCAGGGUCUCACAGGUAAGAAGAGACUCAUCAUUUGGUAGAAUAAUUGACACUGAUCAGCAGAAGGAGGUAGCGAAACUUUCAGACAUUGAUGGUUAGGAGGAAUGUAUAGAAAGCAAGUAAUCUCUGAGCACAUCUUGGUACUCUCUUAUCUCAACAUAAGUCUACAUGGACCUAUGCAGCAACUCUGAAGAAAGAACCGUGUGAAAACCAGGAGAUCAGAUCCUUCAGAAAUGAUAUUUUGGGUCACACCACCAGGUUCCAUUGAAGACUUGACGAAGGCGAAGAAUCUGCAACACCUUUUGGACCUUUGGGCUCACACCAUUGAUACCUCUGAUCUUGAUGACAAAGGCCAAUUUGGCUUCUGCAGGUACAUAGAAAUUGCCAGCUUUUCUUGCCAUCCUCGCCAUUCGAAUUUCAGUUCUGUAAAUCUGCCUAUAUUCCUUGUAAUAGUGCUUCUCUUUUUCAUAGAUAAGCUUCCUCCUUGCCUUUCAAAGCAUCUUUUGGGCAAACUUCUUUCUCAGGCGCUUGAUCUUCA